UACGUAGGUGGCAAGCGUUGUCCGGAAUUAUUGGGCGUAAAGCGCGCGCAGGCGGUCCUUUAAGUCUGAUGUGAAAGCCCACGGCUCAACCGUGGAGGGUCAUUGGAAACUGGGGGACUUGAGUACAGAAGAGAAGAGUGGAAUUCCACGUGUAGCGGUGAAAUGCGUAGAGAUGUGGAGGAACACCAGUGGCGAAGGCGGGUUGCUGGGCCGACACGUGACGCUGAAGCGCGAAAGCCAGGGAGCGAACGGG
rnacentral:rRNA from 1 species